rnacentral:rRNA from 1 species
UACGGAGGGUGCGAGCGUUAAUCGGACUUACUGGGCGUAAAGCGCGUGUAGGCGGCCCUGCAAGUCGGAUGUGAAAUCCCACGGCUCAACCGUGGAAGUGCAUUCGAAACUGCAGGGCUAGAGUCCUGGAGAGGAAGGUGGAAUGCUUGGUGUAGAGGUGAAAUUCGUAGAUAUCAAGCGGAACACCGGUGGCGAAGGCGGCCUUCUGGACAGUGACUGACGCUGAGACGCGAAAGCGUGGGGAGCAAACAGG